rnacentral:rRNA from 1 species
AGAAAUCGUUAAGGGCGUAUGGCGGAUGCCUAGGCUUUCAGAGGCGAAGAAGGACGUGGUAAGCUGCGAAAAGCUCGGGGGAUUGGCACACACGAAUUGAUCCCGAGAUGUCCGAAUGGGGCAACCCAAUACAUUGAAGAUGUAUUACCUCGUAAGAGGAGCAAACCCGGAGAACUGAAACAUCUAAGUACCCGGAGGAAAAGAAAUCGAAGAGAUUCCGUAAGUAGUGGCGAGCGAAAGCGGAUUAGCCCAAAAGUCUUUAUAUGUUUAAAAGAAUGUUCUGGAAAGAACAGCCAUAGAGGGUGAUAGCCCCGUAUUUGAAAGGCAUACAUAGAUGAUAAAUGAGUAGGGCGGGACACGUGAAAUCCUGUCUGAAUAUGGGGGGACCAUCCUCCAAGGCUAAAUACUCCUGAAAGACCGAUAGUGAACAAGUACUGUGAAGGAAAGGUGAAAAGCACUUCGAAUAGAAGGGUGAAAUAGAACCUGAAACCGUACGCCUACAAGCGGUCGGAGCCCACAAGUUGGGUGACGGCGUGCCUUUUGCAUAAUGAGCCUACGAGUUAAUUUUACUAGCGAGGUUAAGGUAUUAAGUACCGGAGCCGGAGCGAAAGCGAGUCUGAAUAGGGCGCUUAGUUAGUAGGAUUAGACGCGAAACCUUGUGAUCUACCCAUGGGCAGGUUGAAGCUCUGGUAACACAGAGUGGAGGACCGAACCGGUUGACGUUGAAAAGUCUUCGGAUGACCUGUGGGUAGGGGUGAAAGGCCAAUCAAACUGGGAGAUAGCUCGUACUCUCCGAAAUGCAUUUAGGUGCAGCGUCGUAUAUAAGUUUAUUAGAGGUAGAGCUACUGAUUGGAUGCGGGGGUUUCAUCGCCUACCAAUUCCUGACAAACUCCGAAUGCUAAUAAAUGUUCUACGGCAGUGAGGGCAUGGGUGCUAAGGUCCAUGUCCGAGAGGGAAAGAACCCAGACCAACAGCUAAGGUCCCCAAAUAUAUGUUAAGUUGAAGCAACGCGGUUGGACUGCAUUGACAGCUAGGAUGUUGGCUUGGAAGCAGCCAUUCAUUUAAAGAGUGCGUAACAGCUCACUAGUCGAGCGGUCCGGCAUGGAUAAUAAUCGGGCAUAAACAUAUUACCGAAGCUAUGGAUUUGUACAUUGUACAUCUGGUAGGAGAGCAUUCUGUUUGCGCCGAAGCAGUAUCGUGAGGUAUUGUGGAGCGGACAGAAAAGAAAAUGUAGGCAUAAGUAACGAUAAAGGGGGCGAGAAACCCCCUCACCGAAAGACUAAGGUUUCCUCAGCCAUGCUAAUCAGCUGAGGGUUAGUCGGGACCUAACGCGAACCCGAAAGGGGUAGUGGAUGGACAAUGGGUUAAUAUUCCCAUACUUGCUCACACUAAAAAGGGGACGGUUCGACGUAGCUAUUGAAGACGGACGGAAGUGUCAAGGCCUAGCCUUCGGGCGAAGCUGUUAUAGUGAAAUCGGAUCCAAGAAAAGCCGAAGUGAAGCAACCCGUACCAAAACCGACACAGGUGGUCGAGGAGAGAAUCCUAAGGUGCUCGAGUGAGUCGUGGCUAAGGAACUAGGCAAAAUAGUCUCGUAACUUCGGAAGAAGAGACGCCAACAGCAAUGUUGGCCGCAGUGAAGAGGCCCAGGCGACUGUUUAUCAAAAACACAGGACUCUGCUAAAUCGAAAGAUGCUGUAUAGGGUCUGACACCUGCCCGGUGCUGGAAGGUUAAGGAAGGGCGUUAGCGUAAGCGAAGCGUUUGACUGAAGCCCCAGUAAACGGCGGCCGUAACUAUAACGGUCCUAAGGUAGCGAAAUUCCUUGUCGGGUAAGUUCCGACCUGCACGAAUGGUGUAACGA